GAUGAACGCUGGCGGCGUGCCUAAUACAUGCAAGUCGAGCGAAUGGAUUAAGAGCUUGCUCUUAUGAAGUUAGCGGCGGACGGGUGAGUAACACGUGGGUAACCUGCCCAUAAGACUGGGAUAACUCCGGGAAACCGGGGCUAAUACCGGAUAACAUUUUGAACCGCAUGGUUCGAAAUUGAAAGGCGGCUUCGGCUGUCACUUAUGGAUGGACCCGCGUCGCAUUAGCUAGUUGGUGAGGUAACGGCUCACCAAGGCAACGAUGCGUAGCCGACCUGGGAGGGUGAUCGGCCACACUGGGACUGAGACACGGCCCAGACUACUACGGGAGGCAGCAGUAGGGAAUCUUCCGCAAUGGACGAAAGUCUGACGGGGCAACGCCGCGUGAGUGAUGAAGGCUUUCGGGUCGUAAAACUCUGUUGUUAGGGAAGAACAAGUGCUAGUUGAAUAAGCUGGCACCUUGACGGUACCUAACCAGAAAGCCACGGCUAACUACGUGCCAGCCGCCGCAGUAA
rnacentral:rRNA from 1 species